AUUGAACGCUGGCGGCAGGCCUAACACAUGCAAGUCGAGCGAACCUAGCUUGCUAGGUGAGCGGCGAACGGGUGGGUAACGCGUAGGAAUCUGCCUGGUAGUGGGGGACAACGUUCCGAAAGGAACGCUAAUACCGCAUACGCCUACGGGGAAAGGUAGGGGGAGUCUUCGGACCUCACGCUAUCAGAGGAGCCUGCGUCGGAUUAGCUAGUUGGUGAGGUAAAGGCUCACCAAGGCGACGAUCCGUAGCUGGUCUGAGAGGAUGAUCAGCCACACCGGAACUGAGACACGGUCCGGACUCCUACGGGAGGCAGCAG
rnacentral:rRNA from 1 species